AAAAUUUUGCAAACAACGUGAGAUUGAUGAAUAACAAAAAAACAUAAAAACAUCUGGAAAAUGGCAAAAGUUGUGGCAUCUAGAUUUGCUCUGUUAAAAGUUGAAGGAGAUGAUGACGACAAGGAAAAGAAAGCUGCCCAAAAAGCUACCAAUGCACAGACCAACAAGAAAAAGAACAAAAAGAAGAAAGGCGGCCAACAAGAUGAAGAGUUGCGGAGUUUGGCGUUUGGUCGACCAACAUCAGGCCAGCAAAGGUCAAGCAAGAAAAAGACAGCAGCUCCCUCAGAGGAGGAGUGGGAAAAAUGGCAGGAAACUGAUAAACAGGUAACUGCCGAUGCAUAUGAAAAAGACCUAGAAGAAGCAUUUUGCAGUUGAAAGUGUUGUCUCAGCAAAACAUAAAAAGGAAAUGGAGAAAAAAGACAAAGAAAUAGAGUUUCUAAGAACAUCUAUGAAGAAGUUAGAGGAGGAGUACAAACAAGUCAAGAAGAGGAACAAGCAGCUAUGUGUGAUACUGGCUCAGGGAGAAAUGAAGGAUAAGGCAGAAGUUCUGAUGCAGGUGGAUCAACUAACUCAGGUCAAGGACGAACUCACAGAACAGGUAGCUGAGUUGACAGCUGAGCUAGAAAAAGAAAGGUCAAAGGUUCACAGUCUCAAGUCAGAAGUUGAUAAAUUUAAGGGAGGCAAACAUGUUGGGAAAUGAUCGGUGCAAUGAAAACAAUACCGGAACUCAGAGAACUCUAGAAAAAAAGCCAGUUUUGUUUUUCUUCAGUUCAUCAUAAGAAAAUGUGACAAUGGCUGUUCCAGACUUAUUGUUUCUAAGUGAUGCAAAGGAAUGAGAAGUCUUGUAGCCGAGCAGUGUUGUGAGACAUAAAUUGGAGAAUUUUAUCAUAAUGGUUCUUUUAUAUUUUUUCAUUAAAUUGUUUUUUUCUGAUGAAAAAAAAAUUCCUUGAUCUUUGGUUUUCAUCAUUGUAGUUCCUCAGGAAGAUAAUCAAAAUAAUUAAUAGCGCAUUAAAAUAGAGAACAAAGCCAUAAUACUAUCAUUGAUAAAAUUGUGAUCUUGGUAUAGUGAAAAAGAUAUUAUUGGUAUAUAUUUUAUUGAACUGAUGUUGAUUGUUUUUUUAUUAUCAGAUCUAACGAGAUUAGUAUAUCAUCAUAAAUACUAUAUAAUAAAUGAUGUGUUCUUCU
rnacentral:misc_RNA from 1 species